rnacentral:rRNA from 1 species
AGUGAACGCUGGCGGUAUGCCUAAUACAUGCAAGUCGAACGGCAGCACAGUAAGAUCUUGCUCUUACUGUUGGCGGCUGGCGGACGGGUGAGGAGUACAUCGCAAUCUACUUUUUCGUGGGUGAUAACGUGGAGAAACUUACGCUAAUACAGCAUAUUUCCUACGGCAUAAAGCAAAGGAGCAUCACACUCUUCGUGAUUCUAUUAGACGAUUCCGCGCUGCAUUAUCUGGUUGGUAAGGUAACGGCAUAGCAAGGCAACGAUGCAUAUCCGACCUGAGGAGGUGGUCGGCCACAACGGAACUGAGACAAGGUCCAGACUCCUACGGGAGGCAGCAGUAGGGAAUCUUCGGCAAUGGGCGGAAGCCUGACGGAGCCACGCCGCGUGAGUGAUGGAGGGCUUCGGAUUGUAAAACUCUGUUAUUAGGGAAGAACAAAUGUGUAAGUAACUGUGCACAUUUUGGCGGUAACUAAUAAGAAAGCCACGGCUAACUUCGUG